AUUGAACGCUGGCGGCAUGCCUUACACAUGCAAGUCGAACGGUAACAGGUCUUUCGGGAUGCUGACGAGUGGCGAACGGGUGAGUAAUACAUCGGAACGUGCCUAGUAGUGGGGGAUAACUACUCGAAAGAGUGGCUAAUACCGCAUGAGAUCUAUGGAUGAAAGCAGGGGACCUUUGGGCCUUGUGCUACUAGAGCGGCCGAUGGCAGAUUAGGUAGUUGGUGGGAUAAAAGCUUACCAAGCCUACGAUCUGUAGCUGGUCUGAGAGGACGAUCAGCCACACUGGGACUGAGACACGGCCCAGACUCCUACGGGAGGCAGCAGUGGGGAAUUUUGGACAAUGGGCGCAAGCCUGAUCCAGCAAUGCCGCGUGCAGGAUGAAGGCCUUCGGGUUGUAGACUGCUUUUGUACGGAACGAAAAGUCUUGGGUUAAUACCCUGGGAUCAUGACGGUACCGGAAGAAUAAGCACCGGCUAACUACGUG
rnacentral:rRNA from 1 species